rnacentral:rRNA from 1 species
CCGCCGGCGACCGGCGCACGGGUGAGUAACACGUAUGCAACCUGGCCGUGACAGAUGGAUAACCGGGAGAAAUCCCGCCUAAUACAACAUAAUGCCGGGAGGGGACAUCCCCUGCCGGUCAAAGGGGGCGACCCCGGUCACGGAUGGGCAUGCGGCGCAUUAGGUAGUUGGUGGGGCAACGGCCCACCAAGCCGACGAUGCGUAGGGGUUCCGAGAGGAAGGUCCCCCACAUUGGAACUGAGACACGGUCCAGACUCCUACGGGAGGCAGCAG